GUUGACCUCGGAUCAGGUAGGAAUACCCGCUGAACUUAAGCAUAUCAAUAAGCGGAGGAAAAGAAACCAACAGGGAUUGCCUCAGUAACGGCGAGUGAAGCGGCAACAGCUCAAAUUUGAAAUCUGGCCCCAGGCCCGAGUUGUAAUUUGCAGAGGAUGCUUUUGGUGAGGUGCCUUCCAAGUUCCCUAGAACGGGACGCCAGAGAGGGUGAGAGCCCCGUACAGUUGGACACCAAGCCUUUGUAAAGCUCCUUCGACGAGUCGAGUAGUUUGGGAAUGCUGCUCAAAAUGGGAGGUAUAUUUCUUCUAAAGCUAAAUACCGGCCAGAGACCGAUAGCGCACAAGUAGAGUGAUCGAAAGAUGAAAAGCACUUUGAAAAGAGGGUUAAACAGCACGUGAAAUUGUUAAAAGGGAAGCGCUUGUGACCAGACUUGCGUCCGGUGAAUCACCCAGCUCUCGCGGCUGGGGCACUUCGCCGGCUCAGGCCAGCAUCAGCUCGCUGUCGGGGACAAAAGCUUCAGGAACGUAGCUCUCUUCGGGGAGUGUUAUAGCCUGUUGCAUAAUACCCUUCGGCGGGCUGAGGUACGCGCUCCGCAAGGAUGCUGGCAUAAUGGUCAUCAGCGAC
rnacentral:rRNA from 1 species